UACGAGAGGCCCAAACGUUAUUCGGAAUUACUGGGCUUAAAGAGUUCGUAGGCGGCAUGAAAAGUAGGGUGUGAAAGCCCUCGGCUCAACCGAGGAAUUGCGCUCUAAACUGUCGUGCUCGAGGAACCUAGAGGUGAGCAGAACAGAUGGUGGAGCGGUGAAAUGCGUUGAUAUCAUCUGGAAUACCGGAGGCGAAGGCGGCUCACUGGGGGUUUUCUGACGCUGAGGAACGAAAGCCAGGGCUAGCGAACGGG
rnacentral:rRNA from 1 species